CUGAUAUCGCGUGAUUUCACUGGGUUUAGUACUAUGUGGGUCUGUAUUUCUCAGUUGGUUAGAGCGCACCCCUGAUAAGGGUGAGGUCGGCAGUUCGAAUCUGCCCAGACCCACCAAUAUGUUGGUGUGCUGCGUGAUCCGAUACGGGGCCAUAGCUCAGCUGGGAGAGCGCCUGCUUUGCACGCAGGAGGUCAGGAGUUCGAUCCUCCCUUGGCUCCACCAUCUAAAACAAUCGUCGAAAGCUCAGAAAUGAAUGUUCGUGAAUGAACAUUGAUUUCUGGUCUUUGCACCAGAACUGUUCUUUAAAAAUUCGGGUAUGUGAUAGAAGUAAGACUGAAUGAUCUCUUUCACUGGUGAUCAUUCAAGUCAAGGUAAAAUUUGCGAGUUCAAGCGCGAAUUUUCGGCGAAUGUCGUCUUCACAGUAUAACCAGAUUGCUUGGGGUAUAUUUGGUAA
rnacentral:tRNA from 1 species